AUUGAACGCUGGCGGCAGGCCUAACACAUGCAAGUCGAGCGAGCGGCGGACGGGUGAGUAAUGUCUGGGAAACUGCCUGAUGGAGGGGGAUAACUACUGGAAACGGUAGCUAAUACCGCAUACCAUCAGAUGUGCCCAGAUGGGAUUAGCUAGUAGGUGGGGUAACGGCUCACCUAGUCGACGAUCCCUAGCUGGUCUGAGAGGAUGACCAGCCACACUGGAACUGAGACACGGUGCAGACUCCUACGAGAGGCAGCAGUGGGGAAUAUUGCACAAUGGGCGCAAGCCUGAGGCAGCAAUGCCGCGUGAGUGAAGAAGGCCUUCGGGUUGUAAAGCACUUUCAGCUGAGAAGAGUUACCCGCAGAAGAAGCACCGGCUAACUCCGUGCCAGCAGCCGCGGUAAUUC
rnacentral:rRNA from 1 species